GCCUGAGCCAGCUGCCAUGCCAGGAUUUUGGAGUUAUAGAUUUAAUUAUGUUUAGUUUUUUCGUGUCAGUAUACUAUGAAUAUCUGUUCGAAUGGAAAUUUUAAACUCUAUUGGAUCAAAAGAAAAAAAAAGUUCUCUCGGCCGGAGAUUUCAUCAGAUUAACCUCGGAAUAAUCCAUGCUUUUAUUCUAUCGUUGGCGACAAGAAAAAAAUCAACAUCGGGGAAAUAUCGCAGUCGGCUUCCGGAUUCUCCAAGAUUGCUGUCCUGCCUCGCAUUAAGGGCGCUCCAAACAAAUGCGACGCGGCGGUCCCGUUGGUAUGGACGUGUUAAAGAAACCUCACAUGCAGCGAUCUAGUAAUAGGGUCGCGGCAAUUGUCGCCCAGCAACAGCAACAGCGAAGAAUAGAAUUACUUUUUUUUCAUGCGAUGACGAUGGAUUACCUAAUAAAUCGAAUGUGCUAAUAAAAAUAUGAGUUGCAAUGAUA